rnacentral:rRNA from 1 species
CAGGCUUAACACAUGCAAGUCGAGCGGUAACAGAUCUAGCUUGCUAGAUGCUGACGAGCGGCGGACGGGUGAGUAACGCGUGGGAACCUACCUUAUUCUACGGAAUAACACAGAGAAAUUUGUGCUAAUACCGUAUACGCCCUUUGGGGGAAAGAUUUAUCGGAGUAAGAUGGGCCCGCGUUGGAUUAGCUAGUUGGUGGGGUAAUGGCCUACCAAGGCGACGAUCUAUAGCUG